UACGUAGGGACCGAGCGUUGUCCGGAAUCAUUGGGCGUAAAGAGCGUGUAGGCGGCCAGGUAGGUCGGUUGUGAAACUGGAGGCUCAACCUUCAGAGGUCGACCGAAACCAUCUGGCUAGAGUCCGGGAGAGGAGAGUGGAAUUCCUGGUGUAGCGGUGAAAUGCGCAGAUAUCAGGAAGAACACCCGUGGCGAAAGCGGCUCUCUGGAACGGUACUGACGCUGAGACGCGAAAGCGUGGGGAGCGAACAGG
rnacentral:rRNA from 1 species